rnacentral:rRNA from 1 species
UACAGAGGGUGCGAGCGUUAAUCGGAAUUACUGGGCGUAAAGCGUGCGUAGACGGUUAUGUAAGUCAGAUGUGAAAGCCCCGGGCUCAACCUGGGAAUGGCAUUUGAGACUGCAUAGCUAGGAUGCGGAAGAGGUGAGUGGAAUUCCGAGUGUAGAGGUGAAAUUCGUAGAUAUCAGGAGGAACACCGGUGGCGAAGGCGGCUUCCUGGUCCAGCACCGACGUUCAGGCACGGAAAGCGUGGGGAGCAAACAGG